GAGGCUAGAUGGGAGUCUGCACAUACAGCUACUAUGUCAUAACUACAUAUUAAUCUAUAUAUGGGUAUUGAUACUUUUGAGAGAUGUGUGGAAGAUAAAUUCAUAAUGAUUGAGGCACCGAAUCAACCAUUGAAGAAGAGAUAGACACAUUGAGAGAAGAAGUACACUCUCUCACAGAGAGCCAUAUAACAGUCAUCCCUCCGAUCAUACCCCC
rnacentral:lncRNA from 1 species